rnacentral:rRNA from 1 species
GGGGAAUAUUGCACAAUGGGCGAAAGCCUGAUGCAGCGACGCCGCGUGAGGGAUGACGGCCUUCGGGUUGUAAACCUCUUUCAGCAGGGAAGAAGCGAAAGUGACGGUACCUGCAGAAGAAGCCCCGGCCAACUCUGUGCCAGCAGCCGCGGUAAGACAGAGGGGGCAAGCGUUGCUCGGAAUCACUGGGCGUAAAGGGCGCGUAGGCGGGAUGGCAAGUCGGUCGUGAAAUCCUUCGGCUCAACCGAAGAACGUCGGCCGAUACUGCCGUUCUUGAGGGAUGCAGAGGAGAUUGGAAUUCCCGGUGUAGCGGUGAAAUGUGUAGAGAUCGGGAGGAACACCGGUGGCGAAGGCGGGUCUCUGGGCAUCUCCUGACGCUGAGGCGCGAAAGCGUGGGGAGCAAA